rnacentral:rRNA from 1 species
GUGGGAAUGUACCCUUCUCUAAGGAAUAGCCUCUGGAAACGGAGAGUAAUACCUUAUACGCCCUUCGGGGGAAGAUUUAUCGGAGAGGGAUCAGCCCGCGUUAGAUUAGAUAGUUGGUGGGGUAACGGCCUACCAAGUCUACGAUCUAUAGCUGGUUUUAGAGGAUGAUCAGCAACACUGGGACUGAGACACGGCCCAGACUCCUACGGGAGGCAGCAGUGGGGAAUCUUGGACAAUGGGCGCAAGCCUGAUCCAGCCAUGCCGCGUGAGUGAUGAAGGCCUUAGGGUCGUAAAGCUCUUUCGCCAGGGAUGAUAAUGACAGUACCUGGUAAAGAAACCCCGGCUAACUCCGUGCCAGCAGCCGCGGUAAUACGGAGGGGGUUAGCGUUGUUCGGAAUUACUGGGCGUAAAGCGCACGUAGGCGGACUAUUAAGUCAGGGGUGAAAUCCCGGGGCUCAACCCCGGAACUGCCUCUGAUACUGGUAGUCUAGAGUUCGAGAGAGGUGAGUGGAAUUCCGAGUGUAGAGGUGAAAUUCGUAGAUAUUCGGAG